UCCAUCCCGAUUUUGGCGUAGCCGCACGAAGCAGCACCACGUUCCUCUCUUCCUCCUGACACCGCGGCUAUCGGGCGGCGGCGGCAGCUGGACUAGGUGGUGGAAAGCACGAAUCUUACGGGAACUUCUGCAGGAGGUGGGAUGCUUGCUUGAAGCUUUUUGUUGGUGGUGGGAUAAAUAUAUCUGGUGAUCAAGGGGUGAUGAUGGCUUUGAUAUAUCAUGGAGGAAUUAGAACCAACCAUAUUUUCCUCAACCAAUCAGCUUUGUUCAUCAGGACGAGUAGUGCUCUUUUUCGCACAUUGCAAGCUUCAAAGACUCGCAUCAAUGCUCAAGCAGAGAGCACAACUAGCACUCUGAAAAAGGCAUCAGUUCAAGCGACAACUAAAACAAGUGUAGAACAAAAAAUGCAGAAGCAUUUUUUUUGCCAAUUUAACUCUUGUUAGUUUAAUACUGGUUACCUACUCUUUCACCAGCAUUAAUCCAGUCUUAACACUCUUUUAAGUCUUACACUGAC